AUUGAACGCUGGCGGCAUGCCUAACACAUGCAAGUCGAGCGGAUGAAGGGAGCUUUCUCCUGGAUUCAGCGGCGGACGGGUGUGUAAUGCCUAGGAAUCUGCCUGGUAGUGGUUGAUAACGUCCGUAAACGGGCGCUAAUACCGCAUGCUUCCUGAGGGAGAAAGUUGGGGUUCUUCGGACCUCACGCUUUCGGGUGAGCCUCGGUCGCUUUAGCUAGUUGGUUGGGUUAAUGCCUACCCAGGCGACGAUCCGUAACCGGUCUGAGAGGCUGGUCAGUCACACUGGAAGUGAGACAGGGUCAAUACGACUAAGGGACGCAGCAGUGGGGAAUGGUAGACAAUGGGGGAAAGCAUGAUACAGCGAUGGCGAGUGUGAGACGAAGGUCUUCGGAUUGUAAAGCACGUUAAGUUGGGGGGAAGGGCAGUAAGUUAAUACCUUGCUGUUUUGACGGUACCAAGAGAAGAAGCACCGGCUAACUACGUG
rnacentral:rRNA from 1 species